rnacentral:tRNA from 1 species
GCCGCUAUAGCUCAGUUGGUAGAGCAGCUGACUUGUAAUCAGCAGGUCCACAGUUCGAAUCUGUGUGGCGGCA